ensembl:miRNA MIR3689E microRNA 3689e
GGGAGGUGUGAUAUCAUGGUUCCUGGGAGGUAUGAUAUCGUGGUUCCUGGGAGGUGUGAUCCCGUGCUCCCU